CUUUGCUAUUUUCAUUUUUAAAAUAGACAUUGGGCUUCUUCUUGUUCCUCUUUUUUCCUUCCAAUUCCGAUUUGGUCCUAAUGCCUAUUUUAAAAUGAAAACAAUGAUA
rfam:Glycine soja cultivar W05 scaffold1092_54, whole genome shotgun sequence.